GACGAACGCUGGCGGCGUGCCUAACACAUGCAAGUCGAACGGGUUUUGCACUUAGCACUUAAUGUUCUUAGGAGGAAGCCUGGAUAGUUGGCCGCAGCAUUAACUGCGAACAAAGUUCGCACAACGCUUAUUAGGAGAGCCAACCCAAGAAGCAGAGCGCUUCCAGGUGCCGAGUGGUAAAGCAAGGAGUUAUGGCGUUGCGAACUUUGUCGCACAACGCCAAACAAAAAGCCAACACAUGCAAGGGGAAAGAACAUUAAGUGCUGAGUGCAAAACUAGUGGCGGACGGGUGAGUAACGCGUGGGCAACCUACCCAUAAGAGGGGGAUAACAGCUGGAAACGGCUGCUAAUACCGCAUAAGCUUAGCUGGACGCAUGUUUGGUUAAGUAAAGGAGGCUUAGGCUUCCGCUUAUGGAUGGGCCCGCGUCUGAUUAGCUAGUUGGUAGGGUAACGGCCUACCAAGGCGACGAUCAGUAGCCGGCCUGAGAGGGUGUACGGCCACACUGGGA
rnacentral:rRNA from 1 species